GAAACAGGACGUGAUCAGAGAAGAAAUCUGAGCUUUCUCCUCUGGCAGCUGAAUUAAAACAUGGAUGAGAGGAGCGUCAAACCCUGCAGGGCCGUGGAAUUGACAUGUGCUUAUUACCAUGUUUGCUUCCUGAAACCAAACCGAGUGAUUUGAAGGCCCGUCUUGAGCGAGCGCUCAGAGAGUCACAUCAAUCAGGGAGCGUGAGGGCCCAGAGCGAUCCCCGCCAGGAGCCAGUGCCCAGACUCAGGGGCUCACCGCUGCUUUGGAAAUACUGGCCCGUCUUCCUGGAAAACAGUGCUGGGGGGUCAGCGUGAUGCUAGAAACAGCAGUAAUAAUUUACGGGACACUCGAUCUGAUUCAGGUUUUAGGAUGAAUUAUUCAAGCUGACAUCUCUCCCGACCUGCAUGUUUUAAUAGUUGGAGAACCCUGGGGGUGGGGUGCGACCUGGCUGCCAGGGUCUCAGGCUCAGGAGGAAACAGAGGGGCUUGAGUUCUGUGUGGCUGGAGGGUCCAGGAAGGGGCUCUUGCUUAGGGCCCCGCUAUUUCUCCUGUCCUUUUUAAAAUUAAAACAACCAGACCCUGGGACAGCUCUUUGCACAGAAGAUUUUUACGUUUUGGAAAGUGAGGGAUGAAAGAGAACAGAUGAGCCCCUCGAGCCCCCAACCCGGGCCCCUGGCUGGUCUGAAUCCGUUCUCCCACUGCUUGGGGCAGCGGAGGGGGCAUUCAGCCCAUUUUUAUUUUUAUGGCUGAGCCUGCGGCCUAUGGCAAUUCCCAGGCCAGGAGUCAAAUCAGAGCUGCAUCUGCGACCUACGUCGCAUCUCGCAGUGACGCUGGAUCUUUAACCUGCUGAGCAAGACCAGGGGUGGAACCUGCGUCCUUGGAGAGACGAUGUCGGGUCCUUAACCUGCUGAGCCCCAGCAGGAACUCCCCAUUUUUAAAAGGAGGACCACCGGGCGUAGGGAUGUGGGGGACGAGCCCAAAAGCCCCCAGCAGAGCGUUGCGGAGCCCAGACCUUCUGCUCUCUCCAAGCUUUACUGCUUUAGGGUCUGACUGGUGCCUGCACUGGGCAGGAAGGGCGGAGUGUGUGAAUUAGAUGAAAAUUUAGAAAUGUGCCUACAUGGAGACCACAUGUGAUCAAAGAAAGUUUCCUCUAAAAAUGCCUGGUAAACACCUGUUUUGAUGGGAAGUUCGAAAGCCUUCUGCCAUAACUCUUAGCCUCAGAUUUGGGCGCGAGGUCCAGAACCAAAUAUGCGAAUGACUGAACGACUGUUUGCAGCCCGUCGUCCUAGGCAACAUGCUUUGCGGCUUUCAAGUGCUUCCACGACCCCGCGGUCCCGGCCUCUGGAGACGAGGAAACAGGACUGAGGAAGGCCUGCCCUUUGAGGGGGAAGAGCCCAGCGGCUCCUGCUCGCCGCCUCCUUGCAGCACCAGUGCCUGGGGGCCGCGCUCUGCCUGCCCAGGUGCUGGGGCGGCGGGUCCCCUGGGAGAACCCAGCCCAUGGCCAGCCCCUGACCUGGGGUCCCCUGCCUGGCGGGGCCCAGGAGCAGCCACCACCAGGAAUUCUGAUGCUGGAGGCUGGUCUCCACCCCGAAUCCUGGGGUCUGAGUCCUCCUCCUCGACCGGCUCCUCCUCCUGUCACUUUUCUGGGACCUGAAGGCCCGAAGCCAACAACCUCCCUCAGGAAGAGCCCCAGGACCCUGCUGGGGAGCUUCCCAUUUCCAGCAUCCGGCCUUCUGGGGCCCCUCUCUGGCUGCUCUGCGCUCAGCUGCCCCACGGCGCCAGCCCUGCCGAUGGUCCUGCCUCCCAGGCCUCUGGAGCCCUGGGGUCGUUCACUCCGGCCCCUGACAACGUCUGGUUCUCCUUUCAUCCAUUUCAGAUGCGGCUGCUGCGUGGGGAUCCCCGCUCCCUGGCCCCUCUAGCCUCUGCUCUCGGUAAACGAGAACGCUUUCCCACGCUACUUGGUCAAAGCUUCCUUUUCCUUCAUGUAAUUACAGCAGCAAUGAUCGCUUCUUGU
ensembl:lncRNA